AGCGCUGAGGCCCCGCGGGGCUCCUGCCCCGCGAUAGGGGCCAUCGGGGCGUCUCCGGCCAGCUCGGGGCUCGGGGUGCCCUGGCCCGAAGACAGACUACCCAGUUUUCCGCCUUCUGCGCUGGAGACUCCGGAGUGCUCCUCAGAGACCGGAACGUGCCUCAGGUCCCUGGGUGGAAGGCAGCAGAUGGGUGAUGGCUGUGGACAGAGGGCAGUGAGCCAGGGUGACGUGCAGAGAGCUUGGCGUGGCCGCCCAUGAGCAGAUCCCCAGAGAAGAAACAGGCAGCAGCCUGGCCAGUCUACUCACAGACAUGAGGCCCCCGACCAGGUCGCUGGCAUGAGGGUCGUCGUCCUUAGCACCGAACUGCGUUCUAGGCACAGGAUGCACGUGCCCCCAGACCGAAUGUCUGAUGUCACCGGCCACAGAGAAAACAGAGGAGACGACAAUCUAGUAAGCCAAGGCCAAACAGUCUCUUUCGUGUUUCUAACAAUAAGGCUUUAUAACUAUGCAGCUUGCCACUCUCCAGGAGUGAAAAUGUUUUGGAAGACAGUUACACAGACUCUUUGUUUCAUAUAUGGCAAAGUGAUAAAUACAACUCAUCAUGAACUGAAAUACGAUGAAUUUCUGGUUACAGUUUUCAAGGCAGCCUUUGCUGCUUUCCACGGUUGUGCUUUAUCUAGACUAAUUAGGUAAAUACCUCAAACAAGGCAAGCAGUACCGCUUAAGCUUUAAAAGUCUUAAUUUUUUGUUGCUCCUGUCAAGGUGGGGUUCCUUUGGGGUAGGUGGUGGGGGAACCUGGGCACUGCCAAAGCAGGAAAAAAUAAUCAUAAGAGUUCUGUCUGUCCCCCUGAAAUCCCGUCAGGCCAAAUACUCUGUACCACAGACCUUGCAGGACCACCGUCUAGUGUAGCAGCUUUGUGUUUCCAGAUUGAGGCCGAAAGAGAAACACUGCAAGGUUGACCAAUGCUAAUUUGGUGACCAGCAUAUGGUUGUCAACUUUCCAUUGUACCCAACUGGUCAUUAAACCAAAAAUAAAAACCACUAUUAUUUUAUCACCAUAUCAUGAAAUGACUUCUCAUUUAAAAAUGUAACGAAAGUGACAUGCUUACAAAAAGCAAAUAGUGUAAGUAAAGUUAGAAAAAGAAAAGGUAUGAAGAUUGUCAUGACUCUGAAUGCAGAAACGUCCAACAGAACGUACUAAAUCCAUUCUUAGUAUCACUGAGCGCUGGCAGCAAAGAGAGG